AUGCUUGUAACCGCAUCCCAGUUGCACACAUUGAUAUUUAUGAUUACCCUUGAUUCAAUGAAUUACUCAUUGUGUCUUGACAUUUAUCGCUGUCGAGGGAACGCUUCAACCACUAGUUUUACAGAAAUCUUAGCCCUGGAGAUACAUAAUGUCUACAUGUCAAGUAUUUAUUAUGUGUAUUUUUCACAUUUUUACAGCGAUGUCCAAGCGAACAUUUCUUGCGGUGUUUCUAACUCUGAUCUCGUUCAUCGGGUACACUGCCUUCUCACCUAUUUCAAGUGGACAAUCAGCUGGGAGAUGCUUCAUAGACCAAAGUCUUGGAAAGGUUCCAACAGAAGAGUGAAGGCGCAGUCCUUGCAAGUGACAUAUAACAUAGAC